CUCGCCCACUAGUGAAGUCGGGAAGCGGGAGGUGGGUGAAAGCCCUUUGGAACCACCGAAUGGCUCAUUCGCCCCGGUGGAGAUUUCCAGAUCCAGUACUGUCAUUACAGCAGAGCAGUGUGGCGUUUUGAGGAAUGUCAAGAUGCUCAAGAUCUUUGUGAACCACGUUAUGACGGAGCAGAACUGACAUGGCCUUCAGGCAACCUGCAGAUACAGUGUAUGAGUAGGAUGCCUUUCCCAGCUAAAAGCAAACAACUGCUUUUGGACGUUGCAUUUGGUCUGGAGGAAAAGCCAUCUUGGUAGCUGCAUACCACAUACCAGGACCACAUUGAUCUGCUGCAAGAAAGAUACUGUAUCUGGGACAACAGCUGCAAUUGGAGGCGCCACCUGAGAGUUCACAGUCAUUCUCUAAAGUCCAACUGACUCAGCACAGGCUAGACUGAUGGGUUAAAUGGGUGUGUGAUAGGUGCCACUA